UCCUCGAUAGCUCAGUGGUAGAGCAAUCGGCUGUUAACCGAUUGGUCGUAGGUUCAAGUCCUACUCGGGGAG
rnacentral:tRNA from 2 species